ensembl:snoRNA U3 Small nucleolar RNA U3
AAAACUAUACUUUGAGGGAUCAUUUCUAUAGUUUGUUACUAGAGAAGUUUCUCUGAAUAUGUAGAGCACCAGAAAUCACGAGGAAAAACACAGCAUUCUCUCCUGAGCAUGAAGCCAGUUUUCAGCGUAGCUUCGAUGUAACUGCCUUCAGACCUUGAUGAUCAUUCUUCUCUCCUCCCUGGAGAGUAAGAGGGAGAGGAGGCAGUCUGAGUGGU